rnacentral:rRNA from 1 species
GACGAACGCUGGCGGCGUGCUUAACACAUGCAAGUCGAACGGAAAGGCCCUGCUUUUGUGGGGUGCUCGAGUGGCGAACGGGUGAGUAACACGUGAGUAACCUGCCCUUGACUUUGGGAUAACUUCAGGAAACCGGGGCUAAUACCGGAUAGGAGCUCCUGCUGCAUGGUGGGGGUUGGAAAGUUUCGGCGGUUGGGGAUGGACUCGCGGCUUAUCAGCUUGUUGGUGGGGUAGUGGCUUACCAAGGCUUUGACGGGUAGCCGGCCUGAGAGGGUGACCGGCCACAUUGGGACUGAGAUGCGGCCCAGACUCCUACGGGAGGCAGCAGUGGGGAAUAUUGCACAAUGGGCGGAGGCCUGAUGCAGCAACGCCGCGUGCGGGAUGACGCCCUUCGGGUUGGAAACCGCUUUCGCCUGUGACGAAGCGUGAGUGACGGUAAUGGGUAAAGAAGCACCGGCUAACUACGUG